rnacentral:tRNA from 1 species
UGUAUUGAAGCUCAAAGAGCCUUUGGCCGUUAACCAAAAGGAUAAAGGUUCAAACCCUUUCAAUUCA